rnacentral:rRNA from 1 species
AGAGUUUGAUCAUGGCUCAGAACGAACGCUGGCGGCAGGCCUCAAACAUGCAAGUCUAGGGGGUAGCAAUACCGCCGGCGGACGGGUGCGUAACACGUGGGAAUAUACCUUUUGGUUCGGAACAACGCAGGGAAACUUGCGCUAAUACCGAAUGUGCCCUUACGGGGAAAGAUUUAUCGCCAAAGGAUUAGCCCGCGUCCGAUUAGCUAGUUGGUGAGGUAAUGGCUCACCAAGGCUCCGAUCGGUAGCUGUUCUGAGAGGAAGAUCAGCCACACUGGGACUGAGACACGGCCCAGACUCCUACGGGAGGCAGCAGUUGGGAAUCUUGGACAAUGGGGGAAACCCUGAUCCAGCCAUGCCGCGUGAGUGAUGAAGGCCUUCGGGUUGUAAAACUCUUUCGACGGGGACGAUAAUGACGGUACCCGUAGAAGAAGCUCCGGCUAACUUCGUGCCAGCAGCCGCGGUAAUACGAAGGGGGCUAGCGUUGUUCGGAAUUACUGGGCGUAAAGCGCGCGCAGGCGGUUUUUCAAGUCAGUGGUGAAAGCCCGGAGCUCAACUCCGGAACUGCCAUUGAAACUGUGAAACUUGAGGAUGAGAGAGGUGAGUGGAAUUCCCAGUGUAGAGGUGAAAUUCGUAGAUAUUGGGAAGAACACCGGUGGCGAAGGCGGCUCACUGGCUCAUCUCUGACGCUCAGGCGCGACAGCGUGGGGAUCAAACAGGAUUAGAUACCCUAGUAGUCC